GCUGGAUUCCCCAUCCUUGCCCAGCAGAGGAGCUAAUGCCCGUCCCUCCCCACAGGUGCCCCACGACCCCGCACUCAGCUGUCCAGCCAGGUGGUGAGCCGCUCCUCCUCACUGGAGUCCAUCCCCUACCCUCUCUCCAGCACCCCCAGCUGGCCGCAGGCUGCAGGAGCUGCUCGGACCCCCGCUGGCUCCAGCAUCG